CCUCAUUUGUAUCUUCAGGUCUCCCAGUAAUGGAUAAGAAUUCACAGACUUUUAUCCUCAUCAUACUCUUAGCAAGGGGAUGUUAUCCUGUGCUACCGUGACCACCAGCAUUUGGGGAGAUGGAAGCUGCAUUUAAGGAUUCUGCCAGGCAAAAGAGAGAAGUGACCCUGGACCCUUCAGUUCAUAGAGAGCUGGUUGGCACUUACUUUGGUUGGCCCAAAGGAAAUACAAUCAAGUGUGUGUGAAAGAGCAAGCACUGGGUCACAGCUCCGAGAGCAGCAGUAAGAAGCACUCUUUCUCUGCAAAGCAAGGGGCUUAUGGGCAAAACACAGCCAUUCUCAGACAGCUCAAUGAAACACACACAACCUGAACAAAAACAGCAGCACCAUGACUUUUCCUUGUCACAGCUCAAAGGAGGAAGCAACUGCAUCUGCUACCCAGACUGCACGCUGCUAUUUCCAGGUGUGUUUUCCCCCUGCCAAACCUGCAGCAUAGGAAGCAAGCCCUGCCUGUUGCAUGGCUGGCUAAUCUCCUAUCAUUCAUUCUUCCAUUCAGCAAUGUAGCAUUGUGUGUUCUGUGUUUGGUAUUGCUGAAAUAAAGAGCAUAACUUGAGACAGAGUACAUAUGCCUGAAGAUUUUCUAGAAAGCAUAAACCUGAAGAAGAGAACAAAUUUUGCAUUGUGACCUUUAUUUUGAACUUCUUUACUUUCUUGCAGUGUGGGACAG
ensembl:lncRNA